GCGGAGGAAAAGAAACCAACAGGGAUUACCUCAGUAACGGCGAGUGAAGCGGUAACAGCUCAAAUUUGAAAGCUGCCAACAGGCCGCGUUGUAAUUUGUAGAAGCUGCUUUGGGUAUCGGCCCGGUCUAAGUUCCUUGGAACAGGACGUCAUAGAGGGUGAGAAUCCCGUAUGUGAUCGGUGCCGGCGCCCGUGUAAAGCGCUUUCGACGAGUCGAGUUGUUUGGGAAUGCAGCUCAAAAUGGGUGGUAAAUUUCAUCUAAAGCUAAAUAUUGGCCAGAGACCGAUAGCGCACAAGUAGAGUGAUCGAAAGAUGAAAAGCACUUUGGAAAGAGAGUUAAACAGUACGUGAAAUUGUUGAAAGGGAAGCGCUUGCAACCAGACUUGCGGGCGGUCGAUCAUCCGAGGUUUUCCCCGGUGCACUCGAUCGUUCUCAGGCCAGCAUUGGUUUCCGGGGCAGGAUAAAGGCGGUGGGAAUGUGGCUCUUCGGAGUGUUAUAGCCCACCGUGCAAUGCUGCCACCGGGGACCGAGGACCGCGCUUCGGCUAGGAUGCUGGCGUAAUGGUUGUAAGCGACCCGUCUUGAAACACGGACCAAGGAGUCUAACAUCUAUGCGAGUGUUUGGGUGUCAAACCCAUACGCGUAAUGAAAGUGAACGGAGGUAAGAGCCCUUUAGGGCGCAUUAUCGACCGAUCCUGAUGUCUUCGGAUGGAUUUGAGUAAGAGCAUAGCUGUUGGGACCCGAAAGAUGGUGAACUAUGCGUGAAUAGGGUGAAGCCAGAGGAAACUCUGGUGGAGGCUCGCAGCGGUUCUGACGUGCAAAUCGAUCGUCAAAUUUGCGUAUAGGGGCGAAAGACUAAUCGAACCAUCU
rnacentral:rRNA from 1 species